rnacentral:rRNA from 1 species
ACGAACGCUGGCGGCGUGCUUAACACAUGCAAGUCGAACGGAAAGGCCCUGCUUGCAGGGUACUCGAGUGGCGAACGGGUGAGUAACACGUGGGUGAUCUGCCCUGCACUUCGGGAUAAGCCUGGGAAACUGGGUCUAAUACCGGAUAGGAGCCAUUUUUAGUGUGAUGGUUGGAAAGUUUUUUCGGUGUAGGAUGAGCUCGCGGCCUAUCAGCUUGUUGGUGGGGUAAUGGCCUACCAAGGCGGCGACGGGUAGCCGGCCUGGGAGGGUGGACGGCCACAUUGGGACUGAGAUACGGCCCAGACUCCUACGGGAGGCAGCAGUGGGGAAUAUUGCACAAUGGGCGCAAGCCUGAUGCAGCGACGCCGCGUGGGGGAUGACGGCCUUCGGGUUGUAAACUCCUUUCGCUAGGGACGAAGCUUUUUGUGACGGUACCUAGAUAAGAAGCACCGGCUAACUACGUG